rnacentral:rRNA from 1 species
GGGGAGGCAUCUCCUGGAGUUGAAAGUUCCGGCGGUUUAAGAUGGACAUGCGUUGUAUUAGAUAGUUGGUGAGGUAACGGCUCACCAAGUCGACGAUACAGUAGGGGACUGAGAGGUUACCCCCACAUUGGUGCUGAGACACGGACCAAACUCCUACGGGAGGCAGCAGUGAGGAAUAUUGGUCAAUGGGCGCGAGCCUGAACCAGCCAAGUAGCGUGAAGGAUGACUGCCCUACGGGUUGUAAACUUCUUUUGUUUGGGAAUAAAUGAUACUACGUGUAGUAUUUGCAUGUACCUUACGAAUAAGCAUCGGCUAAUUCCGUG